rnacentral:rRNA from 1 species
GUUGUGGAUGAACGGACGAAUCUUCUAGUUCAGGCAGUAUCGCUGAUAGCUGUGGCUCGGGCAUGGAUCAUGUUAGUCCAUAAGAGAGUUGUUCGUCAGAAUGAGAAACCUCUCAUCCGGUAUGGUCCGGUAUUAAUCCAGGAUCAGAAGAGGAUAGCAAAUCUGAACUACGUCUACAAAUGCAAUGACAUAGAGGCUCUAUGGAUGCUUCGAAUGAAAAGAGCACCUUUUGCCAGGCUUGUGACGUUCAGGAGCAGGGGGCUGCUACAAGAUAGCAUCCACAUCAUUGUGGAAGAGCAAGUGACCAUGUUCCUCCAUGUUGUUGAUCAUAACCAGAGGUUCGGGGUUGUAACCACCUUUAGGAGAUCAAUGGAGACCAUCUCCAGGUACUUCAAGCAAGUGUUGUGUGUUCUUGGGGAGCUCAGAGGAGAGAUGAUUAGAUCACCAACCAGUCAGGCUCCUACCAAGAUUCGCACUAGCCCAAGAUGGUAUCCAUACUUCAAGGUGAGCACUGACAAUAUGUAG